CUUUGGCUCUUUGCUUUUGCAGUUUUGCUAGAGAAGUUAGAUGAAAAUUACAUAACCACGUUAUAAAAUUGGUGUUUUAGUGAAUAAAUUUUUUCUUCUUUCCAUUUCCAAUUUUGUUUUUAUUUUCGAGGUUUCAUGAGUCAUAGGAGUCAUACGACUCGUAUGCCAAGGGUGGUAUACUCCUAGUCAAUGGUAAUAAAAGCAGUCCUAAAAUGUUUUCACAUUUCUGACGCGGAGUUGUACAUUUUGAAUACAUACGUUGAAAGAAAACGUUCAUCAAUUUUCAUAGAAAAGCAAAUCUUAGUGCCUCUGUUAAACAUCAAUUAGAACAACAAGAAAAGAAGACCAUCGACAUAUUUAAACAUGAAAUGGGAGU